GACGGAGGAUGCAAGCGUUUAUCCGGAAUGAUUGGGCGUAAAGCGUCCGCAGGUGGCAGUUCAAGUCUGCUGUCAAAGACCGGGGCUUAACUUCGGAAAGGCAGUGGAAACUGAACAGCUAGAGUAUGGUAGGGGCAGAGGGAAUUCCUGGUGUAGCGGUGAAAUGCGUAGAGAUCAGGAAGAACAUCGGUGGCGAAGGCGCUCUGCUGGACCAUAACUGACGCUGAGGCGCGAAAGCUAGGGGAGCAAACAGG
rnacentral:rRNA from 1 species